rnacentral:rRNA from 1 species
GACGAACGCUGGCGGCGUGCUUAACACAUGCAAGUCGUACGGUAAGGCCCUUUCGGGGGUACACGAGUGGCGAACGGGUGAGUAACACGUGAGUAACCUGCCCACAACUUUGGGAUAACGCUAGGAAACUGGUGCUAAUACUGGAUAUGUGCUCCUGCUGCAUGGUGGGGCUUGGAAAGCUCCGGCGGUUGUGGAUGGACUCGCGGCCUAUCAGCUUGUUGGUGGGGUAGUGGCCUACCAAGGCGGCGACGGGUAGCCGGCCUGAGAGGGUGACCGGCCACAUUGGGACUGAGAUACGGCCCAGACUCCUACGGGAGGCAGCAGUGGGGAAUAUUGCACAAUGGGCGCAAGCCUGAUGCAGCAACGCCGCGUGCGGGAUGACGGCCUUCGGGUUGUAAACCGCUUUCAGCAGGGACGAAGCUUUUUGUGACGGUACCUGCAGAAGAAGCACCGGCUAACUACGUG